rnacentral:rRNA from 1 species
CGAACGGACGAGAAGCUUGCUUCUCUGAUGUUAGCGGCGGACGGGUGAGUAACACGUGGAUAACCUACCUAUAAGACUGGGAUAACUUCGGGAAACCGGAGCUAAUACCGGAUAAUAUUUUGAACCGCAUGGUUCAAAAGUGAAAGACGGUCUUGCUGUCACUUAUAGAUGGAUCCGCGCUGCAUUAGCUAGUUGGUAAGGUAACGGCUUACCAAGGCAACGAUGCAUAGCCGACCUGAGAGGGUGAUCGGCCACACUGGAACUGAGACACGGUCCAGACUCCUACGGGAGGCAGCAGUAGGGAAUCUUCCGCAAUGGGCGAAAGCCUGACGGAGCAACGCCGCGUGAGUGAUGAAGGUCUUCGAAUCGUAAAACUCUGUUAUUAGGGAAGAACAUAUGUGUAAGUAACUGUGCACAUCUUGACGGUACCUAAUCAGAAAGCCACGGCUAACUACGUGCCAGCAGCCGCGGUAAUACGUAGGUGGCAAGCGUUAUCCGGAAUUAUUGGGCGUAAAGCGCGCGUAGGCGGUUUUUUAAGUCUGAUGUGAAAGCCCACGGCUCAACCGUGGAGGGUCAUUGGAAACUGGAAAACUUGAGUGCAGAAGAGGAAAGUGGAAUUCCAUGUGUAGCGGUGAAAUGCGCAGAGAUAUGGAGGAACACCAGUGGCGAAGGCGACUUUCUGGUCUGUAACUGACGCUGAUGUGCGA